rnacentral:tRNA from 1 species
GAUAGCUCAGUCGGUAGAGCAUGAGACUCUUAAUCUCAGGGUCGUGGGUUCCACAUUGGGCA